UUGAAUAAACUGGCUUAGGUUGCUGCUGGCUCUUAGGAGCAUGUGCACAUCUAUUCCAUUUUUCUAAACCUCCUGUGCACUUUGUGUAGACCUGAACAAUUUCUCAAGAGUUUUUCUCUUGGUCUGAAGAUUGCUGGGUGAAAACCUAGCUUUCCUUGUGUUUCAGUGUUUAUGUUUCACACACUCUAUAAAAAUAUAUUAGAAUGUUAUAUAUUGGCCUUUGUGCCUUUAAAAAACCUAAUACAACUUUCAACAACGGAUCUCUUGGCUCUCGCAUCGAUGAAGAACGCAGCGAAAUGCGAUAAGUAAUGUGAAUUGCAGAAUUCAGUGAAUCAUCGAAUCUUUGAACGCACCUUGCGCUCUUUGGUAUUCCAAGGAGCAUGCCUGUUUGAGUGUCAUGAAAUUCUCAACCUUUCUGGCUUGUUAUGAGCUUGUUUAGGCUUGGACGGUGGAAGGUUGCUGGCUUCACAGAAGUCAGCUCUUCUAAAAUUCAUUAGUGAGAUUAUUGCUGGCUCAUCUUUGAUAUGAUAAUUAUCUGUAUCAUUGAAGACUCAGUCUCCUUUAUUGGAAAAUUUUACUUCAAAUAGUCUCUGUUGAGACAAUACUUGACAAUU
rnacentral:misc_RNA from 1 species